rnacentral:rRNA from 1 species
AUUGAACGCUGGCGGCAUGCCUUACACAUGCAAGUCGAACGGCAGCACGGGUGCUUGCACCUGGUGGCGAGUGGCGAACGGGUGAGUAAUACAUCGGAACAUGUCCUGUAGUGGGGGAUAGCCCGGCGAAAGCCGGAUUAAUACCGCAUACGAUCUACGGAUGAAAGCGGGGGACCUUCGGGCCUCGCGCUAUAGGGUUGGCCGAUGGCUGAUUAGCUAGUUGGUGGGGUAAAGGCCUACCAAGGCGACGAUCAGUAGCUGGUCUGAGAGGACGACCAGCCACACUGGGACUGAGACACGGCCCAGACUCCUACGGGAGGCAGCAGUGGGGAAUUUUGGACAAUGGGCGAAAGCCUGAUCCAGCAAUGCCGCGUGUGUGACGAAGGCCUUCGGGUUGUAAAGCACUUUUGUCCGGAAAGAAAUCCUUGGCCCUAAUACGGUCGGGGGAUGACGGUACCGGAAGAAUAAGCACCGGCUAACUACGUG